rnacentral:rRNA from 1 species
GAUGAACGCUAGCGGCAGGCUUAAUACAUGCAAGUCGAGGGGCAGCAUGGUGUAGCAAUACACUGAUGGCGACCGGCAAACGGGUGCGGAACACGUACAGAACCUUCCUUCGAGCGGGGAAUAGCCCAGAGAAAUUUGGAUUAAUACCCCAUAGUAUCUUGAAAAGGCAUCUUUUUAAUAUUAAAGAUUUAUCACUUGAAGAUGGCUGUGCGGCUGAUUAGGUAGUUGGCGGGGUAACGGCCCACCAAGCCUGCGAUCAGUAACUGGUGUGAGAGCACGACCAGUCACACGGGCACUGAGACACGGGCCCGACUCCUACGGGAGGCAGCAGUAAGGAAUAUUGGUCAAUGGACGAAAGUCUGAACCAGCCAUGCCGCGUGGAGGAUGAAGGUCCUCUGGAUUGUAAACUUCUUUUAUAUGGGACGAAAAAAGGCUUUUCUAAGUCGUCUGACGGUACCAUAUGAAUAAGCACCGGCUAACUCCGUGCCAGCAGCCGCGGUAAAAC